AUUGGGUAGGGGAGCGUUGUAUACGCGGUGAAACAGUAGCGCAAGCGGCUGUGGAGUGUAUAGAAGUGAGAAUGCCGGAAUGAGUAGCGCGAAUGCAGUGAGAAUCUGCAUGGCCGAAAGCCUCAGGUUUCUGGAGGAAGGUUCGUCCGCUCCAGGUUAGUCGGGAGCUAAGGUGAGGCCUAACGGCGUAGCCGAUGCACAGACGGUAGAGAUUCCGUCACCACCAAAAGAGUUAAGCACAGGGACACAUUUGAAGUCUCGGAGCCGGGUGUUGGUUCCGGUAGCGAUCGAGGGAAGUUAGUACCGAAGUCCGGGAUGGAAGAUGGCGAGAAAAGCUGUGUGUAUUUCUGCGGUGCCCGUACCGCAAACCGACACAGGUAGGUAGGAAGAAGAUUCUAAGGCCAACGGGAGAAGGGUUGUUAAGGAACUCGGCAAAUUGACCCCGUAACUUCGGGAGAAGGGGUGCUCCAGAGAUGGAGCCGCAGAGAAUCGGCCCAAGCAACUGUUUACCAAAAACACAGGUUUGUGCUAAAUCGAAAGAUGACGUAUACGAGCUGACGCCUGCCCGGUGCUGGAAGGUUAAGAGGAGAUGUGCAAGCAUUGAAUCGAAGCCCCAGUGAACGGCGGCCGUAACUAUAACGGUCCUAAGGUAGCGAAAUUCCUUGUCAGGUAAGUUCUGACCCGCAUGAAAGGCGUAAUGAUUUGGGCACUGUCUCGACAGCCCGCCCGGCGAAAUUGUAGUACCGGUGAAGAUGCCGGUUACCCGCGACAAGACGGAAAGACCCCAUGGAGCUUUACUGUAGCCUAAUAUUGGGUUUCGAUGUUGCAUGCACAGGAUAGAUGGGACACUGGGAAGCAAGUGCUUUGGCAUUUGUGGAGUGGCCGUUGGGAUACCAUCCUUGCGAUAUUGGAAUUCUAACCUGCGCCUUUGAAUCAAGGCGGGGGACAUUGUUAGGUGGGCAGUUUGACUGGGGCGGUCGCCUCCUAAAGAGUAACGGAGGCGUUCAAAGGUUCGCUCAGCUUGAACGGAAAUCAAGCAAAAGAGUGCAAACGCAGAAGCGAGCCUAACUGCGAGACUGACGGGUCGAGCAGUAACGAAAGUUGGAGUUAGUGAUCCGGUGGUAUGUGAGUGGAAAUGCCAUCGCUCAACGGAUAAAA
rnacentral:rRNA from 1 species